AUUCGGGAGGGGAUUAGUGGCGAACGGAUGAGUAACACGUGGGCAAUCUGCCCUGCACUCUGGGAUAACUCCGGGAAACCGGAGCUAAUACCGGAUACGACCACCGCGGGCAUCCGUGGUGGUGGAAAGCUCCGGCGGUGCAGGAUGAGCCCGCGGCCUAUCAGCUUGUUGGUGGGGUGAUGGCCCACCAAGGCGACGACGGGUAGCCGGCCUGAGAGGGCGACCGGCCACACUGGGACUGAGACACGGACCAAACUCCUACGGGAGGCAGCAGUGGGGAAUAUUGCACAAUGGGCGCAAGCCUGAUGCAGCGACGCCGCGUGAGGGAUGACGGCCUUCGGGUUGUAAACCUCUUUCAGCAGGGAAGAAGCGCAAGUGACGGUACCUGCAGAAGAAGCACCGGCUAACUACGUGCCACCAGCCGCGAUAAUACGUAGGGUGCGAGCGUUGUCCGGAAUUAUUGGGCGUAAAGAGCUCGUAGGCGGCUUGUCACGUCGGAUGUGAAAGCCCGGGGCUUAACCCCGGGUCUGCAUUCGAUACGGGCUAGCUAGAGUUCGGUAGGGGAGAUCGAAU
rnacentral:rRNA from 1 species